UACGGGGGGGGCAAGCGUUGUUCGGAAUUACUGGGCGUAAAGAGCGUGUAGGCGGCCCGGUAAGUCCGCUGUGAAAGUCCAGGGCUCAACCCUGGAAUGCCGGUGGAAACUGUCGGGCUAGAGUCCGGAAGAGGCGAGUGGAAUUCCUGGUGUAGCGGUGAAAUGCGCAGAUAUCAGGAGGAACACCAAUGGCGAAGGCAGCUCGCUGGGACGGUACUGACGCUGAGACGCGAAAGCGUGGGGAGCAAACAGG
rnacentral:rRNA from 1 species